AACGAGCGCUGGCGGCAUGCCUAACACAUGCAAGUCGUACGAGACCUUCGGGUCUAGUGGCGCACGGGUGCGUAACGCGUGGGAACCUGCCCUUAGGUUCGGAAUAACUCCCCGAAAGGGGUGCUAAUACCGGAUAAUGUCUUCGGACCAAAGAUUUAUCGCCUUUGGAUGGGCCCGCGUUGGAUUAGCUAGUUGGUAGGGUAAAAGCCUACCAAGGCGACGAUCCAUAGCUGGUCUGAGAGGAUGAUCAGCCACACUGGGACUGAGACACGGCCCAGACUCCUACGGGAGGCAGCAGUGGGGAAUAUUGGACAAUGGGCGAAAGCCUGAUCCAGCAAUGCCGCGUGAGUGAUGAAGGCCUUAGGGUUGUAAAGCUCUUUUACCCGGGAUGAUAAUGACAGUACCGGGAGAAUAAGCUCCGGCUAACUCCGUG
rnacentral:rRNA from 1 species